GGCAAGAGGCAAAACGCUGAGCGGUGAAUUUAGGUGCCUGGGCGGUUGUUUGUUUUUUUAUCUAGAUUCUGUAAAUCUUUUUGUAAUCUAUCUGUUAUCUUUUUGGGCUUAUAUAUAGCCCCAGCGCGAAUUAGAAGAGGAUUCUUUUGACAGAGAGAAACGUCCAGAGAUAUUCCACACCUUGGAGGAGGUUCCUUGGAUGCUUAGGCUAAAUUCAACCAAGUUUAGGGUUAUUUCUUCCACUC
rnacentral:lncRNA from 1 species